CAAAAUUAUCAUUGAAACAUAUUAAACUAAAUUAAAAAUAACUCAUCAGCUGAGAAAAUGGUAUCUUAUAUUUAUGAAGCAAUUGGAAACCUUUUUGGUGUAGAACGGCCUCCCGAAGAACUUGGAGAUCCUAUCGACUUUGAACCCGGGAUUUUAUUGGACAGUGGCAUAUCAUGGGUGUACUUUUUUAAAAGACUGCUAAUUCCAUUAGAAGUCAGAAAGACAUCCAAAUUAUGUCCGGCACCUUGUGAAUGUGAACGUUUUCCAAAAUAUGCAACAAUAAAUUUGACUGAACUAAUUUCCAGUGCACAUAAUUUAAAUUAGAAUGGUCAUUUUGAAUUUCUGUCAAGUCAAACGUCUUAUUUACAGAUGUAAGUUUUGACAACUCGAGUAGCGAUAUGUUUGCAAACUCUUCUAAAAGAAAUCCAGAUGAGAGAUGUGGUUAGGUAGGUACCA